AAAAAAAAUUAUCCAUCAAAGUCGCGUGUAUUCCCACUUCCCAAUCUCCCACAGCACUGACAGCAGCUCACAGCCUCACACAGUCACACUACCUUUUGCCUUCUCGUAAACGAGAUUGGAGAAUUUUUAUUUGAGAGUUUUGGUGAUAGUGUCUGGGUUUAUGCAUAAUAUCGAGAUUGCUGUUGAUGCCCUUUCCAUCUGUUUCUACAGCAACAACAGAGAGAGCAUUUUCAUCUAUGACCAUCAUAAAAAACAAACUUCGAAAUAAGAUGGAAGAUGAGUUUUUUGAUGAUUUGAUGGUUCUCUACAUCGAAAAAGAAUUUGCCGAUAGCAUUGAUAAUGAUUCUGUGAUUGCUGAGUUUGAAGUGAGUGGGCCUCGGAGGGUACGAUUUAGUUAAUUUAUUGUUUUUUUACAACAAAUGUAUGCUUGUAGUUUUUAAUUUACGGGGUUUGGUUUUAUGUCCCCUCCGUUGUAUGUUUUGAUUGAAAAUA